AAUGAACGCUGGCGGCAGGCCUAACACAUGCAAGUCGAACGGAUCCUUCGGGAUUAGUGGCGGACGGGUUAGUAACGCGAGGUAACAUACCCAAAAGUACGCAAUAGCCUCGGGAAAGUGGGUGUAAUACAGUAUGUGCUCGAAAGAGGAAAGAUUUAUCGCCUCUGGAUUGGCCCGCGUUGGAUUAGGUAGUUGGUAGGGUACUGGCCUACCAAGCCCACGAUCCAUAGCUGGGUUGAGAGGAUGAUCAGCCACACUGGGACUGAGACACGGGGCAGACUAGUCCGGGAGGCAGCAGUGGGGAAUCUUAGACAAUGGGGGAUACCCUGAUCUAGCCAUGCCGCGUAAUCGAUGAAGGUCUUAGGGUUGUAAAGAUCUGUCAGGUGGGAAGAUAAUGCCUGUACCACCAGAAGAAGCCCCGGCUAACUCCGUGCCAGCCGCCGCAGUAA
rnacentral:rRNA from 1 species